UACGUAGGGGGCGAGCGUUGUCCGGAAUCAUUGGGCGUAAAGCGCGUGUAGGCGGCCCGGUAAGUCCGCUGUGAAAGUCCAGGGCUCAACCCUGGGAUGCCGGUGGAUACUGUCGGGCUCGAGUCCGGAAGAGGCGAGUGGAAUUCCAGGUGUAGCGGUGAAAUGCGUAGAUAUCUGGAGGAACACCGGUGGCGAAGGCGGCAUCCUGGACCGGUAUUGACGCUGAGGCGCGAAAGCUAGGGGAGCAAACGGG
rnacentral:rRNA from 1 species